GUUAAUCUAGCCCAACCCGCAGGGCACUAUGGGAAAGGUAGUUCGGCGCAGCCCAGCGGCUGGACUACAACUCCCAGGAUGCUCCUGGAGAAGCGAGCAAGGCGGCGGCGGUGGCCUCCUCCGCCUGGAAGAUGCUUCGAGAUUCCCCCUGUGAUGCUUAUUUUACUCUGCCGUCCCCUGAGUGCCGAGGAUGGGGGUGGACAGUGUGAUAUGCGCCUGCCAAAUGCAGAAGAUGUGGAGCGCCGGUUGGUACCCUUCUCCAUCUCUCUAUUUCCUGAUAGAUGAUGUUAAAGGUGAUCCCAAAGCCCUGCCCUCUCCAAAAAAAAGAGAAAAAA